AGAUGCGAAAUCUUAUAGUCACUGUUGCUCUCCAUUUUCAUUUCCCCACUUUCGCGCGGUUGCUGGCUCCGCCGCUGCGAGCCAUCGGGCGAUCCGGAGGCCAUUUUGUCGCGAGGAGCCCGAACCCUAGUUGUAUCCAGAUCUCUGAGUAAGCUUCUUGGGUUUUCCUCUGCAAAUUUUUUGUUUCUGAUCGCCCAUCUCUUAAACCGUGAAAGGGAAGAACAUUUUCGCGAAUGAUAAUACGAAGGAGGAGAAUACACCAAGGGUGUCACUUGGACUUUAGCUCGUAAACUUGUUUGUCUAAGGCAGAGGAUUGUGAACUUGUGCGCAGAUAUGAUGCAUAUCAGCACAUACUCAGGAUUGUAAAGAACAUCCAAGAUUAUGGCUACUAUUGAUCGAGAUGAUGAUGUGGAAUUUGACUUGAGGAAAAACCUAUUACAUAGAUGCUGAUUAUUCUUGCACAUUGCUGGUACAUUAAAUAGUACCAGGGAAGCAAGCAAAACUGAUGAAAGAAUUCCAGAAGAAAUUGCAACUAGCUGCAAACUCUUGCAUUAUGGAAAUACUUUUUAUUGUGAAUUACUGGGAAAGAAUGAAGAAAUCUAACCCUAGGAGGGAAAACAACGAUGCAACAAUGCUUGGAUUCAAAAAUUAAUGUAGUUUCCUGUCCCAUGUGCUACAUCGAUGGAUACUAUGCUAGUUCCAUUGCCAACUGCACAUAGGGAUAAUGAAACUACAGCUUCGCCAUCAAGUUCAGCUGUAUGUUCUCUCCCCCAAGUCUCUUGAUGUUAGCCAUCUUACUGUAUUGCAGUAUUGUUUUUAUCAUUUCAUGGUCAUACUCUUUUCUUAGUUUGCAUCUCGAUUCCGAAACAUGUCUGUUGUUGUUGAGGACAAUGUCAGUCAAUGAAAGUGGCAAAAACUAGAAUUAAAUGGUAUGUUGGAGAUUGUGAUCUGCAGAAACUGCUACUAAUAUUUUAUUCUGCAUGUCAGCAAUUCUGUCGUUGGGCUACCAGCAAUCAGGUUGGGCAUUUUACUGGUCUUGAGUACAUUGCUGCAUGCCUCUAUUUUUCACAUUGAAAUUACAGAUGGAAUUCAAACUUGCAAUAUAUACCAUUGAAGCAGCGUGUGAGGGAAACCAUCACCUAUGACCUGUGUAGCAAGCUGGAUCAGCACUCAGUCCACUUGUGGGUAAAUGAAACCUUAAAUAUGUAGAAUAUAUAUUUUAUUAUUAAAAAUAGAGGGCAGAGGGUGUUGGAAAUGUGAAUGAAAUAAAGAGAUAGAGAUGAAGAGAUUCUAUUGUGUAUGGGUUGUUAGUCCUAUAUCAAAAGUCUCUUGACUUUAUUAUUGGUUUAAA